GGUUUUUGGGGAACAGGUGGUAUUUGGUUGUACAGGAGGCCAGCAAUGCAACCCUGCCACGACCAACCAGGUUCUUCCUUCUGGGAAGUGGAAUUUUGAACAGAAGGCCAGCAGACUGGAAAUGGCCCCACUUGAACUCUUCCUGCCACACGAAGUCCUUCCUGAGCACCCCAGGUCACAGUGAUCAACCCAUCAGGUAAGCAUGGAUAGAUUUUAACAUCUGAUCCAUUCCUUUAGCAUGUCUCGGUCAGUCAUUAAAAUACUUACUGACCAUGAACUAUGAAUCUCACUCUGUGCUACCACAUAAUUUUUAAAAAGUGUGUUAUCUCUCUCGCUCUCUCUUUUUAGGAGAACAGCUUAGUUUUAUUAGUAGACAAUUGUUUUCUUCAAAGUCAGUGCUGACACAAACAUAAAUGUUUCUCACUUGGUGCCUGACAUGUGCAGAAAACACAUUUUUUUCUUACUGAUUGACAAAAGUUGUCUCUCCCAUCAAAGAUGUUUAAGGAGAAUAUCACUACAAUAACAGGACUACUUGGUACUAACUAAAUUAAUAAAAAUGCAAUAACUAAGAACAUAAAAUAUAGUUCUAAAGAACUCUUCAUCACAUUCUAACUUGCUUGCCUAGAUAGUUUUAAUAGCAAAACCAUCGGUUAAUGUGCUACUUUCCAGAAGUUGAGUGUGGAAUCUCAUCUUUUAGUAGAUAGCAUUGCCAUUUUCCUGAAUUAAUUUGAAAGAUUCUCAAGACUUCAACCAUCUUAUCCCUAAGAGCUGUCAUUAGCAUCAUUCAAGCACACUGUCACCUAGUUCACUUGAAAAUGUAAGAGCCAGGCAGUGCAAUAGAUUUAUUUAACUCUCAACUCCACAUCCUGUUUUAAAUAUAAUUGGGAGUGGGAGGUAGGGGAAGAAUUAAUGUAAGCUUCUGUAUUUAACAACAACAACAAAAACCUCAAAUAACUACCAAGCAACCAUUCAUAGAAUCAUUGGGAUCCUGGCUGUUAUUCUAUCUAUGGGGCAGUCAUGGAUAUAAAGCAAUGAGGAAUACUGGGUAAGAAUAUCUUGAAGAGUGGAAGAGAGAAUAAAGAAAAGAAAGCACCUACCUUCUUUUCCAGUCUAUCAAUUAAUUUCUGGAGUCUAUUUAUCUGGAUCAUCCACUGGUUGUCUUCUUCUAAUAAGCCUGGGGCCAGGGAGAAUCAUGAGGGCAAUAUGUUAAACUUUAGACAGAGAAGAAAUACUUGGUUAUAUCAGAGCUUUCCUUCAACCCUGAAGGAAGGAUGCAGUGUCACUGACAGGUCAUUUUUUUAAUGUAUUCAUGAGUGCUUUCUAAGGUAUUGAUUUCCAUAGAUCCAUGCAUCCCAGGGGUUCACUUCCACAGGUCUGUUUUUUAUGUAAUUGCCUAUCUGGCCUUUGAUAUUCAAAGAAAAGAUCCUGCUGAGCCAUUUACAAAACCCCAUGAUGUAGUUGGUUUUCUUUUGCAAAAAAGAAGCAUCAAUCAACAAUUCUAAACUUACUUGUAGGGCAGUGGCAAGAGCCAGUGAAAUCAUAUCCCUGACCAUAGCAAGGUGUAAAUUGCUACGAUCAAAAAGAAGCAUAAAGGCAAGAUAGCUGGUGUCUCCUUUCCCAGGAACUAACUUGAGUAUACAUACAUGGGCUCUAUAAUCAUGGCAUAGUGGUUAAGAGUGCAGACUGGAGCCUGUUGAUCUAUAUUCAUAUAUAUGAUAUAAACAUACAUAUGUAUUUAUAGGUAUGUAGUGUGUGUGUGGGUGUAUCUAGUACCAAGUUAAACAUUAUAGAAGUUCUGCUACUAUUAUUGUUUUUAUCAACAUUAUUAUGCAAAGGGAAGAGUUAUGAUCUGAGCCCGUGCACAAACAUCCUGGCAUAUUUGUGUAUACUGAUUGUAGCUUAAUAAAAAUGUUUUCAUAGGCAUUUGCUGAAGUAGUAUUGUUUAAUAUUUCUUGAAAUAAGAAUGUGAUUGAAUUCAAGACUAUAAAGCCUUGUGUUAGCUUUGAAUACAAUAAAGACAAGAACUAAAUUAUAAAGGGAGAGUGAUGUCAUCAGAAUUUACUUCUCCACCUGCCUUCUUGGAGGCAGCACCUUUCAAAACCCACCAAAUUAUGAUGUAAAAAUGUGCAUUGGUGUUGCCACAAAGAAGUGGCUACAAAAAAAAAAAAUAGAAGAGAGAGAGAGAAAAAAGA